GUUGUGGCUCAGUGGUAAAGCACUUGCCUAGCAUGUGUGAGGUACUGGGUUCGAUCCUUAGCACAACA
rnacentral:tRNA from 1 species